rnacentral:tRNA from 1 species
GACCCGGUAGCUCAGCUGGUAGAGCGAUCGGCUGUUAACCGAUAGGUCGUAGGUUCGAGUCCUGCCCGGGUCG